rnacentral:rRNA from 1 species
UACGGAAGGGGCUAGCGUUGUUCGGGAUUACUGGGCGAAAAGAGCGCGUAGGCGGCUUACCAAGUUGGGGGUGAAAUCCCGGAGCUCAACUCCGGAACUGCCUUCAAAACUGGUAGGCUCGAGUCCGGAAGAGGGGCGUGGAAUUCCCAGUGUAGAGGUGAAAUUCGUAGAUAUUGGGAAGAACACCGGUGGCGAAGGCGGCGCCCUGGUCCGGUACUGACGCUGAGGCGCGAAAGCGUGGGGAGCAAACAGG